rnacentral:misc_RNA from 1 species
CACAACGCCCUCUGUGAACUUUGCCUCCUAGAGGUUGUGCUUCAACGCAUCUCUACGUGGGCACGCUGCGUGUCAAAUGUGCGUCACGGCCUUCAUUCUUUUUCUGUUUUUUUUUUCUUUUUGUUUCUUUGGUGCUCCUGCCCGCCCUGAUGACGCCGGCCACCUCAGCGCGUGGUAUCGGCGUCGAGCGCCCAGGCUUUCUGGAGAAGCGGCGAGGCUGCCGCCUACUUCUGGGCACGGCUGGCGGACGCUUGGUGUCGGUGGGCAGGCUCGGUGCCGCUCUGUGCGGGGGAGACUUGCUGCCGUGAUGAUGCUUGUACCAGCUCCCCAGGAAGCACGCCAAGGACGCGGCACGUAUUGGAGAGCAAGAGGCACGCCGAUCAGCCCCACAGCACAUGCCUGCGAAGCGCACGGCACCUCCGACGUCCCGGGCGGGUGGGCUGGCGAGGCCCGGGUGCCGGCAGCAUGACGAGAGCAGCCCGAAUCAACGCAGCGAGUCCUCCAGACGCCCAUGUGGAGUGUCGCCACACGGUGGCACGGGAGUGCGCGGCGCGAGGCAACGGGGUGCGAAGGAUGGCCCGCAGGCAGCGGUGCGCAGGGUCUCGGAGGGCCCUGGCCUGAGAGGCUGGCCGACGUUGUCCGUGAGCUCACCCGGUGCGCGCGUAGCUGACGCCUCGCCUGUUGGCCGGCACGACGGGCACCACGGCUUCCGCCCUCGAGCGGGGGACCCUUGGCGGCGGCGUGCUUUGGGUGAAGGCGUGCAGGCUACCCGCGUCUGCGUCUGGCGCGGAUCGGGCAGCACGCCGCCGGCGGAGGGACCGAGAGGGGCAGGACGGGGAGAGCUGGUUAGACGCGUGGCCUGAUUCGAUGACAGGGGCUGGGCGGGCGCGUCCCAGAGGGCCUGGAUGCCGCGGCGGUGCGGCAGCGGUGGUGGAGCUGUGGCUGGGUGUGCGUAUAUUCUGUUGCCCUGUACUUGGUCGAAUAUGGACAUGCUGACGAGAAGCGAAGAAGUUUGGGAUUUGGUGAGGGAGAGCUGCCUCCAGCGGGGUCCUUGCGAGAUCGCGCAGCACAGCGAUAUUUUUUUGACCUUUUUGUUUUUGGUGCUGUUUAUCAUUCUCGGGUCUGUGGCUGGUCGCCCGGCAGCGCACGCCCGUGAAGUGUACGGAACGAUUGUUAAAUAGAAUGCUGCUACCCUUAGCAAAGGGCACUGCAGCGGCGCUUCACACCACGAGAGGUAAUCUUCGAAUGGUGGGAAACGUCGCCGAACUACAAGAGACUCGAGUGGUCUCGAGGCGAGCGGCGUAGUGCACACACGUGUUUUGAACGGUAUCUUGUGGAAGAGGGGCUUUGCAGGUUUCUUUCCCCCUGACAUCUC